UGAGGAAUAUUGCGCAAUGGGGGAAACCCUGACGCAGCGACGCCGUGUGAGCGAUGAAGGCCUUCGGGUUGUAAAGCUCUGUCAGAGGGAAAGAAAGGGUCGUCGGAAUAAUACCCGACGACAUUGACGGUACCCUCAGAGGAAGCACCGGCUAACUCCGUGCCAGCAGCCGCGGUAAUACGGAGGGUGCAAGUGUUAUUCGGAAUCACUGGGCGUAAAGAGCACGUAGGCGGAUAGGCAAGUCAGAUGUGAAAUCCCGGGGCUCAACUCCGGAACUGCAUUUGAUACUGCUUGUCUUGAGUGAGGUAGGGGGGAGUGGAAUUCCCGGUGUAGAGGUGAAAUUCGUAGAUAUCGGGGGGAACACCAGAGGCGAAGGCGACUCCCUGGGCCUCUACUGACGCUGAGGUGCGAAAGCGUGGGGAGCAAACAG
rnacentral:rRNA from 1 species